rnacentral:lncRNA from 1 species
UGACUCAGUUUCGCCUGCGGAGGACAGCAGGAUCAUCCCAGCCCUCAGGAGGGCCCGGAGCUUGAAUUGGGCUUCCAUCUCUCACGACUCAAAGAAAACUGACAAAUACCUCCUUCAGCUACUGAGAAAUUGUCAACAAUCCUCCCUCAUCAACAUGAUAAUCACCAAACUCCCACCUCUGCCAUGCAAAGGCCUUGGGGCUCUAAACCCAGCUUCCUCCCUCCCAUUUCUUCCCUGAUGCCACUCCAUGCCUUGGUCCACCACUAUACAUCUUUGGAUAUCUCCAAAUUCUCCUUAGCUAUCUGGGCCCCAUUACAGCUUCUCUUGUCUAAGACCUGGAUCAUACUCAUGUAUGUCCUGAUGGUAUCUGCUGUGCGUCUAGGCCUUAGAAUUGGUCAUUAGCAUUCCCUGAAUGUUUCCAUCUUAUUCUUGGAUGUGGGAAGCACUUGGGCUGAUGGGGCACUGCAGAGCGUUGCCGGCUCACAUUUCUUGGAGGGGAAUCACAGUCUCUUCUCUGCAUCUGCGUCUCCCUCCUCAUGCCUUGCACAAUGCUUCAGGGCUGGGAGUAGGAAUGUAUUAAUAUAGCAAGCUGGCUGGGUUGCAGUGGCUCCCGCCUGUAAUCCCAGCACUUUGGGAGGCCAAAGCAGGAGGAUCCCUUGAGCCCAGGAGUUUGAGACCAGCCUGGGCAACAUAGUGAGACCCAGUCUAAAAAAAAAGAGAGAGAGAAAAGAAAGGAAGGAAGAAAAGAAAAAAAGAGAAAGAAAGAAGAGAAAAGAGGAAUAAAAUAUAUCAGGCAAAUCCCUUAUCCUCACUGGCUUCAAUUUCCCUGUCACUAAGAGGGGUGGGCGGGGGGGCGUCCCCUCCUAAGAGAAACACUGGAGAACACAGGAUCCUUACCUCUCCGCACUCUUCUGAGACCUGGCAGAUCUGAGAAUAAACUUCAGCAAUGACAGUGGCCCUGGAGAGCACAGGAAGGCCCUCAGGAGGGGACUCUCCUCCUUCCACCCCACCCUCAUUCCACCCCACCCUUCCUCACCCCAACUCACUUGCAGUCCAGCCCUCCCCCAGGAGGUAAAUCUGGGAUGUCCUCUGAGGCCAGAGUCCUGAAAACUGUGUUCAGGCUGGGGGGCUUCUGAGCAGAGGCACACAGUUCUGAGAAAGAGUCAAGAGUUAGGCUGGGCACAGUGGCGCACGCCUGUAAUCCCAGCACUUUGGGAGACCAAGGCGGGCGGAUCACUUGAGGCCAGGGGUUCGAGACCAGCCUGGACAACAUCGUGAAACCCCGUCUAUACUAACAAUACAAAAAUUAGCUGGGUGUGAUUGUGCAUGCCUGUAAUCCCAGCUACUCAGGAGGCUGAGGCAGGAGAAUCGCUUGAACCCGGAAGGCAGAGGUUGCAGUGAGCCAAGAUCACGCCACUGCACUCCAGCCUAGGAGACAGAGCAAGACUCCAUCUCAAAAAAAAAAAGAAAAAAAGAAAAAGUUAUGGCACAGCCUUCACUGGCCAACCACCCCUCCAGCUGGGCCCCCAGAGUCUGCUCACCAGCGAUUCUGCAGCCCAGGGCUGCGUCCAGUGCUAGCUCCCUCCUGAUCGCCUCCUCAGAAGGCC